GACUUGCAUGGUGUAGUGGUUUGAGCAUUGGACUAGGACUCUGGAGACCAGGGUUCAAAUCCCUGCUUGGUCA